CUACUCAUCAAACAAAAAUAUUUCUCUGUAACGAAAAAAAGAUAGUGGGCUAAUAUUAUGGGCCAUGAGACUGCCUUAGAAGCCCAUCCUUUCACUACACACUUUGUAAUAUACAUUAGAAACCCUAUAAAUUAAUACUCGAUAAAUUAAUAAACACGAUAAAUUAAUAAAUUUUGCCGGUCGAAGUCGGGCCAAUGUAAAAAUUAACGAAAAUCGAUAAGAUAAUAAAAU
rnacentral:sRNA from 1 species